GGAGGAUCCGAGCGUUAUCCGGAUUUAUUGGGUUUAAAGGGAGCGUAGGCGGAUUGUUAAGUCAGUUGUGAAAGUNUGCGGCUCAACCGUAAAAUNGCAGUNGAUACUGGCAGUCUUGAGUGCAGUAGAGGUGGGCGGAAUUCGUGGUGUAGCGGUGAAAUGCUUAGAUAUCACGAAGAACUCCGAUUGCGAAGGCAGCUCACUGGAGUGUAACUGACGCUGAUGCUCGAAAGUGUGGGUAUCAAACAGGAUUAGAUACCCUGGUAGUCCACACAGUAAACGAUGAAUACUCGCUGUUUGCGAUAUACAGUAAGCGGCCAAGCGAAAGCAUUAAGUAUUCCACCUGGGGAGU
rnacentral:rRNA from 1 species